UAGGAAUCUUCCACAAUGGACGCAAGUCUGAUGGAGCAACGCCGCGUGAGUGAAGAAGGUUUUCGGACCGUAAAGCUCUGUUGUUGGUGAAGAAGGAUAGAGGUAGUAACUGGCCUUUAUUUGACGGUAAUCAACCAGAAAGUCACGGCUAACUACGUGCCAGCAGCCGCGGUAAUCGUAGGUGGCAAGCGUUGUCCGGAUUUAUUGGGCGUAAAGCGAGCGCAGGCGGAAGAAUAAGUCUGAUGUGAAAGCCCUCGGCUUAACCGAGGAAUUGCAUCGGAAACUGUU
rnacentral:rRNA from 1 species